UAUCGGAACGUGCCCUGGAGUGGGGGAUAACUAGUCGAAAGACUAGCUAAUACCGCAUACGAUCUACGGAUGAAAGUGGGGGAUCGCAAGACCUCAUGCUCGUGGAGCGGCCGAUAUCUGAUUAGCUAGUUGGUGGGGUAAAGGCCUACCAAGGCAUCGAUCAGUAGCUGGUCUGAGAGGACGACCAGCCACACUGGGACUGAGACACGGCCCAG
rnacentral:rRNA from 1 species